UACGGGGGGAGCAAGCGUUGUUCGGAUUUACUGGGCGUAAAGGGCGCGUAGGCGGCGUGACAAGUCACUUGUGAAAUCUCCGGGCUUAACUCGGAGCGGCCAAGUGAUACUGUCGUGCUAGAGUGCGGAAGGGGCUACUGGAAUUCUCGGUGUAGCGGUGAAAUGCGUAGAUAUCGAGAGGAACACCUGCGGCGAAGGCGGCUCACUGGUCCAUUACUGACGCUGAGGUGCGAAAGCGUGGGGAGCAAACAGG
rnacentral:rRNA from 1 species